UCCCCUUAAAUAUGGGAUAUAGACGAGUGUGACUUUUUCUAAGCCUUAGCACGCUUGUAUUCCCUCUAUAAAAGGGUAAAUUGAGUCACGAUUUAGGUCUCCCCGUACCCAAUAUGCAUGCGUUCCCUAGGCUCAUGCAUUCUAAAUCCACUCUAUCAUUACACUUUCACUUUUCAUUCCAUUUGCACACAUACACCUUUUAUCCCUUCACCUGCACACGAACACUUUUGUUCCAUUUUGCACACAUGCACCUUUAUGUUUCUUCACCUGCACACGAACACUUUUGUUCCAUUUUGCACACAUGCACCUUUAUGUUUCUUCACUUGCACACGAACACUUUUAUCAUCACUUGCACACAUGCACUUCAUAUUAUCAUUUCACAUACCGUACCUUGCCCACUC
rnacentral:lncRNA from 1 species